AAAAUACAUGUAUAUAUUUGUUUAUUUAAAAACUAAUUUUCUCUGUUCGUUCACAUUGAUAGUCUGGAAGCUACAAGUCGGCGAUAGCUGAAUGAAUUAGUGUUGUGGAUUAAAGUGAGACAUAAAAAAUGAAUAGAAAAUUUGGAGGAAGGCAGCCGACUGGAACGCCAUCGCUUUCUUGGUCAUGCGUUGUCGUCAUAGCUUCGCUUCUUGCUGGUGCUUCUCUUGUCCACAACAUUUACAAGCCUGAUCUUACUCUACCUUCAGUUGAAAGUGUUGAUGGAGACAAGCAGCAGCAUUCUGAGAAGAAAUAGUAAAUGCAUUUAUCUUUUACUUUUCUCUUUUUAACUAUGUUAUGAUUUUUCCAUUAUCUCUAUUAUUAACAAAUGUUACCGACCCUUGCAUGUUGGAAAUUCAUUUUAUUGUAUUACGGACUAGAUUGGUAGCUGGUAAAUACCAUUGAAUUUCAA